rnacentral:tRNA from 1 species
UCCCGUUUAGCUCAGUUGGUUAGAGCAUCUGACUGUUAAUCAGAGGGCCGAAAGUUCAAGUCUUUCAACGGGAGCCA